CGCCUACCCAAUCGUCGCUCCCAUUCCUCUCCCCCAAUCCCCUCUCCCCAAUCCCUCCAAACCCUAGCCAAUCUCCACCCGACCGCGCCUCGCCGCCUCACGCUGCCGCCUCGCGCCGUCCUCCUUACAUGGCGUGGCCUAUGUUGUCCUCGUCCCUGUCACAGCGCGCCGCCGCUCGCUGGGAAGAGCGGCUGGGCAGGAGCUUGUGCGUGGCGGCUUGAGGAGGGUAGAACGGCGGAUCGAGAUCCUCCUCUGGGCGCUGGGCAGGAGGAGGCGCCACCGCUCCCAGCGGAUCGAGAUCCUCCUCUGCGGGACUGGGAAUGAGGAGGCGCAACCGCUCCCCACGCCAUCUCCUUCGACGGUACGGCAGCGCCGCCAUCUUCAUCGCCCCUCAGCGAGCAUGGCUCUGCAGACUGAUGAGGAGGAGAUGAACGGAUGAAGGUCGCCAUCCUUACCGUCGUCUUCGCGUCCUCUUCAUCAUUGCUGGGAUGUAGGUCACCAUGCUUCUUCUUCAUCCGGGAUGCACAGGUCUCUCUUUGGACCCCUUCUUUUUGGUGCUUCUCUCUCUAUAUCUCCGUUCCUGGUUAACUAAUUUGGGGCAGGUCGUGCUAUCAUUGGUAAGGAAGUGAGAUGUGUGGUUUAUUUUGCACGUAUUUUGUGCACAUUCAGACUUUUGUCUGAUGUGGUUUCUGAAUAUACUUAUACCAUGAGUUCUUAAUAUUUUUCAAUGCUCAAAUUUUGUAUAGGUUCACUGAAGAGAGACAAGUUUGCACAUUUUUAUUUGCUACCUAAACUACUCACUCGACCUUGAAUCUCUAAUCUAUAUCUCUGUCCCUGUGUAUAUGUCUCCACUGGAUCCAAUGGAUUUUGUUAGGUGUUGGGUCUGUUGUGUUCGUUCAAUUAAGGUGGUGAAAUUGGGAAGGUCUACUUUGAUAGGAUGGUAUUAUUGUUAUUUUGGUCAGCAUUUUUCGUGAAUUAAUCCUAAUAGAUAGAUUGUAGCUCCACUUAUGUACACCAAAACCAAAACUGCAGCUCUUUAUUAGAUAGGAACCUACAAAUUUGUAGACUUAUCAUUUGUUUCUCUGGUUACAAAUCCUAUUGCUACACAUGCAGGGAUGAGAAUCAGGAUGAGCCCCUUGCUUUAGAUUGCUUGGUCAUGUUUUUCAAGUGUAUCGUGUUUUCUGCUCCACUUGGUCUUUCUAGAUAUUCUGUUUGGUGCCCUUGGUACAUCUCUACUGUUUAAUUUUCAUGUUUGAUGUAUUCUUCUUGCAGGUGCUAUCCUUGGUGUUGGCUCGAACUUAUCAGAGAGGCUCAGCAGAUUUACUGAGAUAGGCAUGACCCAUUUACAUUUAUUCUUCUACUUUGAUUUUGGUGUAUGCUCUGUGGUUGAGUAUGGUGGCGGUGUCGCCGAUUGACAUAAUAGUUGAAUGUAUGUAGGUGCCUGUAUUAUUUUCUAUAAAUAAAAUGACCCAAUUGAAAUGCAUAAUAUAAGCACACAUAGUACAAUAAAGUACUGCACGAAACUAUUGAUCUCACUACGUAGUUUUCCAGUUUUGAUCUCAUGUGUAUGACUAAGUGACAUCUUUGUACUUGCUUGGCUUAUUAUUUCUUGAGCGCAAACUAAUUGGUCGAUGUAUUCAGUUUGCAAUUGUUCAGAGGUAUAUGCAUGGGAGACGCCAGAGCGACUGAUGGUGUGGGUUCUGGUAAAGGCUCGCCGGAAACAACCAGCAUCUCCAUAGUCUUGGCGUGGCCGGCGUCAAACAUCGCAAUGACCAGCACACUAUGCUGGACUGGCUCAGGAUUACAAGAUAGCCAGAUGGGUGUGAAUUUUGAACCAUUGUGUGGGUUUGUCAUCUUAUUCAUGCACAUCUUAUUGUCGAGCUGACACUCCUUGAAUUCACUUUUUCGGUAAUGAGCUACAUGGUACUAUCUCUAUUGUUCAUUUUAUCAUGUUAUCUUCUAUCUAACCUACCUUGAUCUCUCCUAUGCAAAGUAGGAAGAUAUAAAAACAUGUUAGGAAUAGUAUGUGCAAGCAUAUGUAUUCGUGUACACUUCUGUCUGUUCUGCAUUACCCGCAUGUUCUUGGAUGUCAAUGUUAUUUCUUCAAGAAUCCCACAUAUGUGCACUAAUUCUAACAUUUCCAUCUGUGUAUUAAAAUUUUAAAACAUGUGUGUAGACUAUAAGUAAAUUCAUGGUCAUUAUGUAGAUGAUAGCUGGGAAUACCAAGAGCGAUGGUGCUGAGAAGGUAUAGAAAAAAAACUGUGGGAGAAGACGAUGUUGAUGAAAGAGUGAAAUCAAGGGAGCAAAUGCCUUGGAAUUUGAUAUCGACUGAUGUUAAAUUUCAGCAAGAGAUAUGAACCAGACGAUGCAUACAAAAUAAAUAAGUCGAGGUAUGAACGGGCCACGGUGAUGAAAAUAGUAAUAAAGACUCGCUAUGAUUGUGGCCAGCUAAAAAUGAAAAUCCUGGUGUAGAAGGUUCAUGGUGUCUCUCUGCAUAUGCAUCCUGCACGUUUGUACAUGAAAAUGUCAGUUCUUUGAAAUGUGAUCUUUUCCUUAGUGCUAAAGCAUUUGAUUUAAUUUCUAAUUGUUGUCUUGGCACAAGAAAAGAACUGUAGAGAAGAUAGUUUGGUGCUUGCCAACUUAAUUCUGCGCUGCCCUCAAGGUAUGCAAGGUCAGCUAAAUUAUUUAGUACUUUUGUCUAAGAAAUUUACUAUAUCUUCUAUGCAACAAAUCUCCAUGUUAAGAAAAGUAUAGAUAUACGAUGUUUUUAGAGAUCUGUGUUAUGCGUAAGUUUUUACAUAUUCCAUUUUUUAGCUACCUUUUAUUUUGUUUUGGGUGGAAAACACACACAUAGCUUAAUUGGCGCAAAAUAGUAUUCUCAGUUAAGGCCAUACUUUCAGAAGCAAGUAAUUGUCAUAAAUAGUGACAUGUGUUUCAGCUUCUUUUUGCCUCUGAACACUGCUUUGCAUUAUCAUCACAUUACACUGUCUUGCAUCAUACACGCUGCCAAGCUUCUCAGUUUAAGUCACACUUCCAGCAUCAAGUAGUUCUUACUGUCACACUUCUCAGUUUAAGUUACACUAUCAGUAGCAAGUAAUUCUCACUGUCAAAUUUCUCGGUUAAGUUACACUUUCAGCAACAAGUAAUUCACAUACAUAGUAAUCUGCAAUUGAGCCUCCUUUUCCCUCCAAACGCACCUAUUUGCAUUAGCAUGUUACACUGUCUUACGGUGUAUGCGCUGUGAAGCUUCUAGAGUUAAUUCGUGUUUCUAGCAACAAGCAACUCUGGCAAGUAAUGAUCUGCAUUUGAGCUUCUUUUUUGCAUCUGCAGUGCCUUCAAACUUGUGAUUCUCACACUAUACAAUUCAUUUUAUUUAUGGCACAAUUACAUAAAGAGGUCAUUCUCAUUCCUGCCAAUUCAUAAAUAUAUCUAUCCUCAAGUAAACUUUGCACAUGCUUAUUACCUAUUAAAUAAAGUGGACUAGGUGGUUGAAUGUUUCACAAGCUAUUGAUUAUUCCUUUUUGCUUUCUUCCAAAAUUAAUAUUUAAAUUUUCUCUCACCAUAGGGAACCAUAAUGGAAGGAUGCAUACCAGCCAACCAAAUAGACAGAACCUGGAUAUUAAGGAGGGCAAAGAAACUAAGCAAAGCCCAGAAAUGAAGAUCUCAAAAUUGCUUACAUUGAUGUUGUUGAGAGCAUUAGGAAUGGAAAGCCCAGCACUGAGUAUUACUUGAAGCUUGUUAAAUCUGACAUCCAUGGAAAGGACAAGGUCAAAUAUUUAUUGCUGAUUUCAGUUUCCAAGGGCUUCACCAAUCCGAAAGAGAUGGCAAGACUGCUAUCAUCUGAUCAGUCAGGAGAGUGUUGCUCUUGGAAUCGCCGCCUGAGAUUGGAUCUUAAGGCAUGCUUCAGUUGGCACCUCCGGUUGAGUUUGAAGAGACCUAUCACUUAGGAAAUUUGGUCCUCAGUAGAGCAACCAAAUAUGAAGCAAAGAUUAAGGAGAAAGCAAGGACAAUAAAAGCAACUUUUAUGAAACAAAAACCACUUCUGUAUAAGAUGAAUAGUUGGUUGUAUAUAAGUUCUUCUCAAAUAAUGAUUUCGUAUUGGUUCCUGCCUCCAUUACUCUGUAAGCUUAAUAGAAAGUUUUGACAUAA